GAUGAACGCUAGCGGCAGGCCUAACACAUGCAAGUCGAGGGGUAGAGGAAGCUUGCUUCCUUGAGACCGGCGCACGGGUGCGUAACGCGUAUACAAUCUACCUUUUACAGAGGGAUAGCCCAGAGAAAUUUGGAUUAAUACCUCAUAGUAUUUUCGGAUCGCAUGAUUUGAUUAUUAAAGUUCCAACGGUAAAGAUGAGUAUGCGUCCCAUUAGCUAGAUGGUAAGGUAACGGCUUACCAUGGCUACGAUGGGUAGGGGUCCUAGAGAGGGAGAUCCCCCACACUGGUACUGAGACACGGACCAGACUCCUACGGGAGGCAGCAGUGAGGAAUAUUGGACAAUGGGCGCAAGCCUGAUCCAGCCAUGCCGCGUGCAGGAUGACGGUCCUAUGGAUUGUAAACUGC
rnacentral:rRNA from 1 species